rnacentral:rRNA from 1 species
AGUGAACGCUGGCGGUAGGCCUAACACAUGCAAGUCGAACGGCAGCACAGUAAGAGCUUGCUCUUACGGGUGGCGAGUGGCGGACGGGUGAGGAAUACAUCGGAAUCUACUUUUUCGUGGGGGAUAACGUAGGGAAACUUACGCUAAUACCGCAUACGACCUACGGGUGAAAGCAGGAGAUCUUCGGACCUUGCGCGAUUGGAUGAGCCGAUGUCGGAUUAGCUAGUUGGCGGGGUAAAGGCCCACCAAGGCGACGAUCCGUAGCUGGUCUGAGAGGAUGAUCAGCCACACUGGAACUGAGACACGGUCCAGACUCCUACGGGAGGCAGCAGUGGGGAAUAUUGGACAAUGGGCGCAAGCCUGAUCCAGCCAUACCGCGUGGGUGAAGAAGGCCUUCGGGUUGUAAAGCCCUUUUGUUGGGAAAGAAAAGCAGCAGGUUAAUACCCCGCUGUUCUGACGGUACCCAAAGAAUAAGCACCGGCUAACUUCGUG